CAGGUCAGGCGGGGCCACCCGCUGAGUUAAGC
rnacentral:rRNA from 1 species